rnacentral:rRNA from 1 species
GGGCGUGCUAAUCUGCGAUAAGCGCCGGUAAGGUGAUAUGAACCGUUAUAACCGGCGAUACCCGAAUGGGGAAACCCAGUGUGAUUCGUCACACUAUCAUUAACUGAAUCCAUAGGUUAAUGAGGCGAACCGGGGGAACUGAAACAUCUAAGUACCCCGAGGAAAAGAAAUCAACCGAGAUUCCCCCAGUAGCGGCGAGCGAACGGGGAGGAGCCCAGAGCCUGAAUCAGCAUGUGUGUUAGUGGAAGCGUCUGGAAAGGCGCGCGAUACAGGGUGACAGCCCCGUACACAAAAGCGCAUGUGCUGUGAGCUCGAUGAGUAGGGCGGGACACGUGGUAUCCUGUCUGAAUAUGGGGGGACCAUCCUCCAAGGCUAAAUACUCCUGACUGACCGAUAGUGAACCAGUACCGUGAGGGAAAGGCGAAAAGAACCCCGGCGAGGGGAGUGAAAAAGAACCUGAAACCGUGUACGUACAAGCAGUGGGAGCACAGGUUUACCUGUGUGACUGCGUACCUUUUGUAUAAUGGGUCAGCGACUUAUAUUCUGUAGCAAGGUUAACCGUAUAGGGGAGCCGGAGGGAAACCGAGUCUUAAUUGGGCGUUAAGUUGCAGGGUAUAGACCCGAAACCCGGUGAUCUAGCCAUGGGCAGGUUGAAGGUUGGGUAACACUAACUGGAGGACCGAACCGACUAAUGUUGAAAAAUUAGCGGAUGACCUGUGGCUGGGGGUGAAAGGCCAAUCAAACCGGGAGAUAGCUGGUUCUCCCCGAAAGCUAUUUAGGUAGCGCCUCGUGAAUUCAUCUCCGGGGGUAGAGCACUGUUUCGGCUAGGGGGCCAUCCCGGCUUACCAACCCGAUGCAAACUGCGAAUACCGGAGAAUGUUAUCACGGGAGACACACGGCGGGUGCUAACGUCCGUCGUGAAGAGGGAAACAACCCAGACCGCCAGCUAAGGUCCCAAAGUCAUGGUUAAGUGGGAAACGAUGUGGGAAGGCCCAGACAGCCAGGAUGUUGGCUUAGAAGCAGCCAUCAUUUAAAGAAAGCGUAAUAGCUCACUGGUCGAGUCGGCCUGCGCGGAAGAUGUAACGGGGCUAAACCAUGCACCGAAGCUGCGGCAGCGAACGUAUCACCCAAGACAACUUUACGGAGUUGACGAUUGACGGAGCGAAGCGACGUCAAAGCGUUCAUUAAAGUCGAGUUGGCUUAGGGAUACGUUCGUUGGGUAGGGGAGCGUUCUGUAAGCCUGUGAAGGUGUGUCGUGAGGCAUGCUGGAGGUAUCAGAAGUGCGAAUGCUGACAUAAGUAACGAUAAAGCGGGUGAAAAGCCCGCUCGCCGGAAGACCAAGGGUUCCUGUCCAACGUUAAUCGGGGCAGGGUGAGUCGACCCCUAAGGCGAGGCCGAAAGGCGUAGUCGAUGGGAAACGGGUUAAUAUUCCCGUACUUGGUGUUACUGCGAAGGGGGGACGGAGAAGGCUAUGUUGGCCGGGCGACGGUUGUCCCGGUUUAAGCGUGUAGGUGUGUGUUCCAGGUAAAUCCGGUUCACUUUAACACUGAGGCGUGACGACGAGGCACUACGGUGCUGAAGCAACAAAUGCCCUGCUUCCAGGAAAAGCCUCUAAGCAUCAGGUAACACGAAAUCGUACCCCAAACCGACACAGGUGGUCAGGUAGAGAAUACCAAGGCGCUUGAG